AAGUACCGUGAGGGAAAGUUGAAAAGCACUUUGAAGAGAGAGUUAAAGAGGACGUGAAACCGAUGAGAUGGAAACGGACAGAGCUAGCGUAUCUGGCCUGCAUUCAGCUUGUGCGGUCGCUACCGAUGAAUCGCUGAUCUCCAGAUUGGGACUGUUGACUAGUCGGUCGGUGGCUGUAUAGUGCAUUUGCAGGUGGAGUGCGUCGAGGCAUCCGGGAUGGCGGCAUGAACUCAGCUUUGAGGCCAGCUUGCUGGUACCCGGGCUGGGGGACUUUGUGCUGUUCGUUCUGGGUGUUCACACACAAUUGGUGGGGGCUUUGGUAGGGUGCCGAGCUGGGUGUCGGUGGCGGUCGCUUGCGACACGUACUGUGCACACAGUUCGGUCCUUGCCGAGCUCACUCCAUCUAUCUCGGCGUAAAAGCUGGUCAUCUUUCCGACCCGUCUUGAAACACGGACCAAGGAGUUUAUCGUGUGCGCGAGUCAUUGGGCGUUCAAAACCCAAAGGCGCAAUGAAAGUGAACGUUUCCGUUAGGAGCCAACGUGCGAUCCUGGUCACCACGGUGGCCGGGCGCAGCAUGGCCCCAUCCUGACUGCUUGCAGUGGGGUGGAGGAAGAGCGUACGCGGUGAGACCCGAAAGAUGGUGAACUAUUCCUGAGCAGGAUAAAGC
rnacentral:rRNA from 1 species